ensembl:lncRNA
CUUUGUUCGAUCACCCAAGUUUUCUGCAGGUCUGCUGUGUGCCAAGCCCUGUGCUGUUUCCUGGGGCUAGAGCAGAGAACAAAACAACAUCUCUGCUCUGAAAGAGGUCACCGUCUGGCUGGGGAGACACAUUAAAGAAAUAAACAUGCAAACAAACACAUGGCCACAAAUAUCCACAAAUGUUCUCAAAGGAAACCCUGGGAUUCAUGAGCAUGAAAGAUAUAAAAAACGAGACUGGGGGGAGAGGGCAGGCAGGGCAGGAAGUGACAUUUCAGAGGGACUUGAGGACUGAGAAGGAGUCAGCCAGAUGAGGAGGAGAGGAAAGGUAUUUCAGGUGAGGGGAACAACAUCUGGGUGCCUUGAGGGCAGAAGGAGCUCAAGGCAUUCACGGAAAGAAGAGGUCUGUGUGACCCAGAGAUCAGCGAGGGGAGGAGUCAGCAGAUACCAGCUGAGUCAGGCAGGGUUGCAGUAAGGAUCGUAAUUUUGGAAAAUGGGCUCUUGGGGACUUACAUGAAAAUAUACACCCCUGUGUUUCAAAGUUAUCCCCUGGAUUGGGCUGGUGUUCAUCUUGGUCUCACCUGCCUUCUACCUUUUCCAGUCUGAAGGCACUGGCUCAUCCAGAAUCAGCGCAGAUCCUCUUACCUCCCAAGUUGUUCUGAGACAGAAUGUCCGUGGAAAAAGCAAGUGGGAACAGCUGCCAUCGGCACAGGUAGGGAGGGAGAAGGUGGGGAAAAUAGGCAGCCAGGUGGAAAGGUUGAGAGACUUGGGAGCUGGACUUCUGGGUUCAAGACUGGCCGUCCUCCACACGGUGCACCAAGGAAACGACCGUGGCCAAGUCAUUUCAGCUCCCAGAGUAUGAGUUUUCUGUCUUUAAAAUAGGGAUGGUCGUUUAAAAGUCUAGAAAUAACCAGCACUGGAGAGGGUGUGGAGAAAAGGGAACCUUCCUCCACUGUUGGUAGGAAUGUAAAUUGAAGCAGCCCCUAUGGAGAACAGACUGGAGUUUCCUCACAAAACUAAAAAUAGAGUUGCCAUAUAAGCUUGCAAUCUCACUCUUAGACAUACAUCCAGAGAAAACUAAAAUUUGAAAAGAAACAUUCAUCCCAGUGUCCGUAGCAGAUUAUUUACAAUAGCCAAGACAUGGAAGAACCUAAAUGUCUGUUGAUAUCACAAGAUGAAUGAAUAAAGAAGAUGUUUAUAUAUAUAUACA